ACGGGUGAGUAACGCGUGGGAAUCUACCGUACCCUACGGAAUAGCUCCGGGAAACUGGAAGUAAUACCGUAUACGCCCGAAAGGGGAAAGAUUUAUCGGGGUAUGAUGAGCCCGCGUUGGAUUAGCUAGUUGGUGGGGUAAAGGCCUACCAAGGCGACGAUCCAUAGCUGGUCUGAGAGGAUGAUCAGCCACAUUGGGACUGAGACACGGCCCAAACUCCUACGGGAGGCAGCAGUGGGGAAUAUUGGACAAUGGGCGCAAGCCUGAUCCAGCCAUGCCGCGUGAGUGAUGAAGGCCUUAGGGUUGUAAAGCUCUUUCACCGGAGAAGAUAAUGACGGUAUCCGGAGAAGAAGCCCCGGCUAACUUCGUGCCAGCAGCCGCGGUAAUACGAAGGGGGCUAGCGUUGUUCGGAAUUACUGGGCGUAAAGCGCACGUAGGCGGAUCGAUCAGUCAGGGGUGAAAUCCCAGAGCUCAACUCUGGAACUGCCUUUGAUACUGUCGAUCUGGAGUAUGGAAGAGGUGAGUGGAAUUCCGAGUGUAGAGGUGAAAUUCGUAGA
rnacentral:rRNA from 1 species